UUUGAGAGCCUAUGUGGUAUUUUGAUAUCUUUCAAAAUUUUACUCUCCACUUGGUAUAUCAAAUUAAAUAUUAUUUUAUUACACUAUUUUCUUUUCUUUUUAUUUUAUUAAACUAUUAUUUUCUAGGUUUGGAAUGAAGACUCCAGAGUCCCAACCCAACCCCACUCCUACACGCAGAGAAAGAGAGAUAGAGCUCCCAUUUCCUUCCCGAGACAAACGAAAGAGUUUGGUUGUCAAGAAAAUUAAAGCGCCGCUGCCUCUUUCUUCGUCUCGCCUUUCUUUGACUCCUCGACGAACAGCUGAACCAGAUUCCCGUCGUUGGGCUCGAUCAACCUGUUUGAAAUUCAGAGCCUUUGGCGGGUCAUGGGCUUGGACCCGAUAUGGGUUGAGAGCUUGAGGACAGGGGCGAAAUGGGCAGAUGACGACUUGGGGAAAGAGUGAGAGGGGUAAGGGGUGUUGACGGAAAGGGUGGCCAUGGAUGCCAUUGAAGGAGGUGAGAGAGGAGAGUUGCAGAUCUGAUAAAAAAAUUAAUAAAAAAAUGUUAAACGUUGCUGUCAAAUUUGAUAGCAAAGGGGAAAGCUGUCAUACCAUGUCAUGCUAUAUCAGAUUUAGCUUUUUGAUUGGAAAGCAUUGCAACUGUCUUUUUUUACUGUUAUUGUUGAUUUGGACAUUUUGACAUCUCCUUUGGAGAUGCUCUUAGUCAUCUUAUGGUUCCUUUUUUUUUUCGGAAAACAUUAAUUCAUUAAAGAAAAUAAAUGUAUAAUUUGUGAUGGUUGGAUCUAAGGAACGAAAAAAAUUUCUACAUGGCAUGAACAAGGAGUGGUACGCUAUGUGUCAUUAUAUAAGUGCAGAGAAUUUUUAUUUUUUUUCAAGUGUCCCUCUACUUGUAUAAUGACAUCUGAGAUUUAUACUC